GACGAACGCUGGCGGCGUGCCUAACACAUGCAAGUCGAACGGAAAACAUAGCAAUAUGUUUUUAGUGGCGAACGGGUGAGUAACGCGUAGACAACCAACCUUUUUGUGGGGGACAACACUUCGAAAGGAGUGCUAAUACCGCAUACGCUCCAGAUGCCGCCUGGUGUUCGGAGGAAAGGAGCUUUACGGCUUCGCAAAAAGACGGGGCUGCGUCUGAUUAGCUAGUUGGAGGGGUAACGGCCCACCAAGGCGACGAUCAGUAGCCGGUCUGAGAGGAUGGACGGCCACACUGGGACUGAGACACGGCCCAGACUCCUACGGGAGGCAGCAGUGGGGAAUCUUCCGCAAUGGACGAAAGUCUGACGGAGCGACGCCGCGUGAGUGAUGAAGGCCCUUGGGUCGUAAAGCUCUGUCAUCAGGGACGAACGGUCACGUCAGGAAAUGGGCGUGAACUGACGGUACCUGAGAAGGAAGCCACGGCUAACUACGUGCCAGCCGCCGCCGUA
rnacentral:rRNA from 1 species